rnacentral:tRNA from 1 species
AUUUAUAUAGUUUAAAAAAAACAUUAUAUUUUCAUUAUAAAAUUAGAUUCUUCUUAUAAAUA